rnacentral:rRNA from 1 species
UACGGAGGGUGCGAGCGUUGUCCGGAAUCACUGGGCGUAAAGGGCGCGUAGGCGGCGCAACAAGUCAGUUGUGAAAUCUCCGGGCUUAACUCGGAACGGUCAAGUGAUACUGUCGUGCUAGAGUACAGAAGGGGCAGCUGGAAUUCUCGGUGUAGCGGUGAAAUGCGUAGAUAUCGAGAGGAACACCUGCGGCGAAGGCGGGUUGCUGGGCUGAUACUGACGCUGAGAAGCGAAAGCGUGGGUAGCGAACAGG